rnacentral:SRP_RNA from 1 species
GCCAGGGACGGUGGCGUGUACCUGUAAUCCCAGCUACCCAGAGGCUGAGGUAGGAGGAUCGCUUGAGCCCAGGAGGUUGCGGUGAGCAGAGAUGGUGCCACUGCACUGCAGCCUGGGCAACAGAGUGAGACCCUGUCUCAA